UACGUAGGGGGCAAGCGUUGUCCGGAAUUAUUGGGCGUAAAGAGCGCGUAGGCGGUCCGAUAAGUCGGCUGUGAAAGUCAAGGGCUCAACCCUUGAAAGCCGGCCGAUACUGUCGGACUAGAGUCCGGAAGAGGCGAGUGGAAUUCCCGGUGUAGCGGUGAAAUGUGUAGAGAUCGGGAGGAACACCGGUGGCGAAGGCGGGUCUCUGGGCAUCUCCUGACGCUGAGGCGCGAAAGCGUGGGGAGCAAACGGG
rnacentral:rRNA from 1 species